rnacentral:rRNA from 1 species
CAGUCGCCGCGGGAAUACGUAGGUGGCAAGCGUUGUCCGGAUUUAUUGGGCGUAAAGCGAGCGCAGGCGGUCAAUUAAGUCUGAUGUGAAAGCCCCCGGCUCAACCGGGGAGGGUCAUUGGAAACUGGUUGACUUGAGUGCAGAAGAGGAGAGUGGAAUUCCACGUGUAGCGGUGAAAUGCGUAGAGAUGUGGAGGAACACCAGUGGCGAAGGCGACUCUCUGGUCUGUAACUGACGCUGAGGAGCGAAAGCGUGGGGAGCGAACAGGAUUAGAUACCCCUGUAGUCCCUGUCUCUUAUAA